UGACUNGAGUGCAGAAGGGGAGAGUGGAAUUCCAUGUGUAGCGGUGAAAUGCGUAGAUAUAUGGAGGAACACCAGUGGCGAAAGCGGCUCUCUGNUCUGUCACUGACGCUGAGGCUNGAAAGCGUGGGUAGCGAACAGGAUUAGAUACCCUGGUAGACCACGCCGUAAACGAUGAGUGCUAGGUGUUAGGCCCUUUCCGGGGCUUAGUGCCGGAGCUAACGCAAUAAGCACUCCGCCUGGGGAGUACGACCGCAAGGUUGAAACUCAAAGGAAUUGACGGGGGCCCGCACAAGCGGUGGAGCAUGUGGUUUAAUUCGAAGCAACGCGAAGAACCUUACCAGGUCUUGACAUCCCGAUGCUAUUCUUAGAGAUAGGAAGUUACUUCGGUACAUCGGAGACAGGUGGUGCAUGGUUGUCGUCAGCUCGUGUCGUGAGAUGUUGGGUUAAGUCCCGCAACGAGCGCAACCCUUAUUGUUAGUUGCCAUCAUUAAGUUGGGCACUCUAGCGAGACUGCCGGUAAUAAACCGGAGGAAGGUGGGGAUGACGUCAAAUCAUCAUGCCCCAUAUGACCUGGGCUACACACGUGCUACAAUGGUCGGUACAACGAGUUGCGAGCCGGUGACGGCAAGCUAAUCUCUGAAAGCCGAUCUCAGUUCGGAUUGGAGGCUGCAACUCGCCUCCAUGAAGUCGGAAUCGCUAGUAAUCGCGGAUCAGCACGCCGCGGUGAAUACGUUCCCGGGCCUUGUACACACCGCCCGUCACACCACGAGAGUUUGUAACACCCGAAGUCGGUGAGGUANCCUUUUAGGG
rnacentral:rRNA from 1 species